GAACACGCAGUCUGAGCUUCCACUGUCAGUAAAGUGCAGAGACAGGUGUGAGGCUUCACACGCACAAACAUGAGGGGCGUUCACCCGUGGUUACUGUGACCGGCAGGUGGUGACGUCAGGAAGGCUGACGGGAGCAGUCAGAGGGGGUCUAGCCACCUUAAAUCCAGGAACAGCUCCCUGCCCUGAGCCGGCCUACUCUCUGUACUCUACCGACUCCGAGGACCAGGUCAUCAGUCUGCACAAGGGUCUGGACCGCUGUGCUGCCCUGCUCAGUGGGAUCCUUCAGGCUGAUGAGGCAGUGUCUCCAAGGCUUCACAGAACAGUAAGCAGUG